UACGUAGGGUGCGAGCGUUAAUCGGAAUUACUGGGCGUAAAGCGUGCGCAGGCGGUUUUGUAAGCCAGAUGUGAAAUCCCCGGGCUUAACCUGGGAAUGGCAUUUGGGACUGCAAGGCUUGAGUGCGGCAGAGGAGACUGGAAUUCCUGGUGUAGCAGUGAAAUGCGUAGAUAUCAGGAGGAACACCGAUGGCGAAGGCAGGUCUCUGGGCUGACACUGACGCUCAUGCACGAAAGACGUGGGGAG
rnacentral:rRNA from 1 species